GAGAAGCCGGCUGGCAAUCAUUAACUAAUGCUUUCUCCCAGGGAGAAAAAUGCAGGUUUUAAAGAGGCCGGGACUGCAGGAUUGCAAUAGAAGAAUUGCAAACUUGUGCUGCGCAGCUUGCUUUUCCAGACCGGCGGCAGCCAGGGCCAGAGUAUCAGAACCUUGGAGCCAGAAUGCUGUCCCAGCGCUGUGAGGAUUGGACCUCAAAGGAGUUCUGGGUUAAAACUCAUGGAGAGCCAGGUGUUCUGUGCCUUAGGAAGUUAGUGCCAGGAGUUCCCCGAGGAGCGAGAGGGUGGGAGGAGGCACGUGAGCCUGUGGGAGCCUUUGUGGAGUUCUCAUUACCCCGAAAUCUUGCGGUUGAUAAGACCAGACACUGCCUGCCAGGCGGUUUUCUUGCUCAACCUUUGGAUUUAGAAGUUGCUUUCUCCUUCUCUGGGUUGGGCAGUGUUCCUUGGUGUUUUCGAAAUCUGUGCAGCUGAUUUUGUUUGAUUUUAGCAUGGAAGUGACAAUAAUGGGCAGGAUAAAAAAGGGCAAAGCUUUGUUGGAGGGAAGAGGAUAAAAUGCAGAGAAAGGGCCUUAGCAGUAAAACAAAAACAAAAAAACACGUGCUUUCAAAAUCUCAGAGUUCUAUUUUUCAUAUUGUGUAAAAAGUUUUUUUUUUCUUCCCAAAUACAGUGCAGUAAGGUUUUGGUCUUGUGUGGGUGGAGUGUGAGGUCAGCCCUGUCUACACAGCAAAUCCCAGAACAGCCUCAACUGCACAGUAAGAUCCCGUCUCAAAAAUAAAUAAAUAAAACGACCGAAGGUGUAUCCUGUUGCCUAUAUAGCCCACCAGUUUUUAAAUGUAGUUAGCCGAUUCAGUGAUUCUGUGAUCCCACGAGAAUACGUUUGCAGGGUACUAAUUUCCUUUGGGUUUGUACUCAACAAGAAGACUUGCUUAUAAAAAAAAAGUUGAUUAUCUAUGAGCUAUAUUUGUUGUUCAAGAAAUGCAGUAAAAUUCCAUGUUUCUUAAGUUCUCCAAAAGUAGUUUUACAAGAAUGGGUUUUCACUGAAUCUGUUGUUUUAAGAUUGCAGUUAGUAAGAGUAGUAUGUCAUAGUAUGUUUUCAGCUGCUUGGAUAAAACACCGUGACCAAAAUCUGCUCGUAGACAAAAGGGUUUACUUCAAGUUUACAACUCUCUGGUCAACGCCAUCUCUGAGGGAAGUCAGGGCAGCAGCUCAAGGCAGGAACCUAGCAGCCGCAAUGGGGUAAGGAUGGACUAAUUUGCGGAAGGUUCUUCUUUGCGGACUGACACCAGGAAGAUAAAGAACAGGGGAGCAGAGGGCCUCAUUCCGGAAUUCUGCCCAGCGCUCGAACUCUCCCCCAGCGAGGCUUGCCUACUCACACUCAGCUUCUCGGGAUGACCUUGAAGUGGCUGCAUUUUGCUGGCUCUGUACGUGGCAGAAGUCCUGUUUCCAGACGGCGUGCAAGCGGAGUCUCUCCCCGACCUCAUUACCCUUAAAGUAAAUCAGGGAAUGGGGCCCACAGGCUGUGUCUAGAUUAAAGGCCCCACUCCUUUCCCAAAGGCAAAGGUGUCUCUGGGUUUUAUCAGCUCGCGCCCCCAACCGUAUCCACAGCGGGCGCCUUUCUCCCAGGCUCCCUCUAGCCGGCCUCAUAAAUAUGGCCAUUGGCCUUCGCUCGGGGCUCACACAGCAGAAGGACUCUUUUUGCUAAAUCACUUGCUCAGCUAGUCAGGACCGUGUCCUUGACUUUAGAAAAGCCGAGGAGGAAGGAGCCUGGGAGCCCAGACGCACUAAUUAACGGAGUGGAAGGAGCACAAGAACAGGCAGCAACAGCUCCCGUCCUGCUUGCCCGACGGUGCCGGAGGAGUCCUGAGUCCCUACUCAACUAGGUUCCAGCUCAGGGCAAGAAAGGUGUGUGGGCACUGCUUCACCAGCACAGGGCUCUUUAGCGUCAAGGUCACUAACUGGGGGUGGGAGAAAGGAGCUGAGCCCUGAAGGUUUUUUAGCAGCCCCCCUGGCCACCACAUGGUCAGUUACUUUCUUCCCCAAAGCUGUGAUAAACAUACAUGUCUUCCGGUCUGGCAGUGUGGCUCAGGGUGCAAUGUUUUCCUAGCACGUGAUGGUUGAAGUCUGUAUCCCAGUCUGGUUCCUAAAACGCUCUGCGACCGUGGACAAGUUCCAUUGUCGCUCUGUACCUCAAUUUCCUUACUUGGAAUGUGGAAUCAGAGCAUCCAUACUAUUCUUUUGUAACGGAAGUGUUGAAAAUGAAGCCACAAGAAAUGUACUGCACAGGAAGUGAGGACAGACCUUUGGACAAGUCAUAUUUUUGUGAAAUAGAAAAAGAUAGGUCUGACCAAACUCUUCAAAUUCUGUCAAACUUGAUUUAUCCACAUGGACAUGAUAAGUAUUGGUUCCCCGGUUAUUAGGGAUGUAAUUAGCGGAAUCAAACCUAAUUAAUAAAUCCAGAUUUAAUAAACAGCAAAGCAGAGCAGAGUACUCCCAGGUGACUCUCAGGAAGGCAGGAGGGAGAGUGUGAGAGUUUGUGGCAGCUCUAUGGGCUUAAAUAAGCAGUAGGCGGGGUCUUAUGCA